UACGGAGGAUGCAAGCGUUAUCCGGAAUUAUUGGGCGUAAAGCGUCCGCAGGUGGCACUUCAAGUCUGUCGUCAAAGACCGGGGCUUAACCCUGGAAAGGCGAUGGAAACUGAAAGGCUAGAGAGAGGUAGGGGUAGAGGGAAUUCCCAGUGUAGCGGUGAAAUGCGUAGAGAUCGGGAAGAACAUCGGUGGCGAAAGCGCUCUGCUGGACUGCAACUGACACUCAGGGACGAAAGCUAGGGGAGCGAAUGGG
rnacentral:rRNA from 1 species